UACGGAGGGGGCUAGCGUUGUUCGGAAUUACUGGGCGUAAAGCGCACGUAGGCGGCUUUGUAAGUUAGAGGUGAAAGCCCGGGGCUCAACUCCGGAAUUGCCUUUAAGACUGCAUCGCUAGAAUUGCGGAGAGGUAAGUGGAAUUCCGAGUGUAGAGGUGAAAUUCGUAGAUAUUAGGAAGAACACCAGUGGCGAAGGCGACUUACUGGACACAUAUUGACGCUGAGGUGCGAAAGCGUGGGGAGCAAACAGG
rnacentral:rRNA from 1 species